rnacentral:rRNA from 1 species
AGUGAACGCUGGCGGUAGGCCUAACACAUGCAAGUCGAACGGCAGCAUAGUAAGAGCUUGCCCUUACGGGUGGCGAGUGGCGUACGGGAGAGGAAUACAACGGAAUCUACAAUUUCGUGGGGCUUAACGUAGUGAAACUUACGCCAAUACCGCAUACGUCCUACGGGUGAAAGCAGGGGAUGUUCGGAUCGUGCGCGAUUGAAUGAGCCGAUGUCGGAGUAGCUAGUCGUCGGGUUAAAGGCCCACCAAGGCGACGAUCCGUAGCUGAUCUGAGAGGAUGGACAACCAGACUGGAACUGAGACACGGUCCAGACUCCUGCGAGAGGCAGCAGUGGGGAAUAUUGGACGAUGGGCGCAGGCCUGAUCCUGCCAUACCGCGUGGAUGAAGAAAGCCUUCGGGUUGUAAAGCCCAUUUGUUGGGAAAGAAAAGCAGCAGGUUAAUACAUCGCUGUUCUGACGGUACCCAAAGAGUAAGCACCGGCUAACUUCGUG